rnacentral:rRNA from 1 species
AGAGUUUGAUCAUGGCUCAGGACAAACGCUGGCGGCAUGCCUAACACAUGCAAGUCGAACGAGACCUUCGGGUCUAGUGGCGCACGGGUGCGUAACGCGUGGGAACCUGCCUUUAGGUUCGGAAUAACUCCCCGAAAGGGGUGCUAAUACCGGAUGAUGUCUUCGGACCAAAGAUUUAUCGCCUUUAGAUGGGCCCGCGUUGGAUUAGCUAGUUGGUGGGGUAAAGGCCUACCAAGGCGACGAUCCAUAGCUGGUCUGAGAGGAUGAUCAGCCAUACUGGGACUGAGACACGGCCCAGACUCCUACGGGAGGCAGCAGUGGGGAAUAUUGGACAAUGGGCGAAAGCCUGAUCCAGCAAUGCCGCGUGAGUGAUGAAGGCCUUAGGGUUGUAAAGCUCUUUUACCAGGGAUGAUAAUGACAGUACCUGGAGAAUAAGCUCCGGCUAACUCCGUGCCAGCCGCCGCGGUAAUAC